rnacentral:rRNA from 1 species
UACGUAGGGUCCGAGCGUUGUCCGGAAUACUGGGCGUAAAGCGUGCGCAGGCGGCUUCUUAGGCAUGACGUGAAAGCCCCGGGCUCAACCCGGGGAGGGUCGUCGUGAACCGGGGGGCUUGAGGCCGGUAGAGGUGGGUGGAACUCCUGGUGGAGUGGUGAAAUGCGUAGAGAUCAGGAAGAACACCCGUGGCGAAGGCGGCUCUCGUGGGACGGUACUGGACG